UACAGAGGGGGCGAGCGUUGUUCGGAAUUACUGGGCGUAAAGGGCGCGUAGGCGGCCCUCUAAGUCGAACGUGAAAUCCCCGGGCUCAACCCGGGAACUGCGUCCGAUACUGGAGGGCUCGAAUCCGGGAGAGGGAUGUGGAAUUCCAGGUGUAGCGGUGAAAUGCGUAGAUAUCUGGAGGAACACCGGUGGCGAAGGCGGCAUCCUGGACCGGCAUUGACGCUGAGGCGCGAAAGCCAGGGGAGCAAACGGG
rnacentral:rRNA from 1 species